rnacentral:lncRNA from 1 species
AAAAAGAGGAAAAAGAGGAAAAGAAAAAGAAGAAGAAGAGGCAGGAAUGAGUUCCUUUGUGUGUCUUCAUUAUCUGGACCAAUCAUCUUCAUCAUUCAGACCAAAGCUUCAAUCUCAUUUGCUCUUAGUAUAUGGUAUUUCAUCGAUUAGUGAAUAUCAAACCUGCUGCCUGGGUCACUGAGUGGUCUUUCUUUAAAUUUAAUUUGACUUAGAUUUUAAGUCGAAUGAAAAUUGAUUCAAACAUGAAAAACAGGAUACAUCAUAAAUUUAUAAAAAAAAAAGUCAUCAAACCCUCCGGACACGAUAUAACGAAUUAUAUUUCCGGGGAAAUUAUAACGGUUGGUCGCCCUAAUAAAUGUAAAUUCAGUGAUUACUAAAACUAAAGCAAUGUUUUUACUUUGAAUGUGAAGUAGAAUCAACACUCGGUAGAUACAAUUAAACAAAUAUCAUUAGACAUGAUGGACUUUUCAUAUUGGUCAAGACUCUUGGAUUGACAGACAAGCAUUUGCAACAUACUAGGCAAGAGCAGCAAUUUCCACUUUGCUAUGAUCCAGGGUUUGUCAGAAGAAGAAAUGGUUGGCUGUGGAGCGACAAACCACUGAGAAGAUUCGGGCAGGUAGUCAAAGGUCGAGUCGUUGGAGAGUGCGAAACAAAUAGCUACGAAAUCCAAGAUUAGGUGGAGGUGUGUCCGUCGGACAUCUUGGUGCAAGGAGAUGAUGACUACAAAUUUCGAAAUGCGUGAUCCCGAGAACAGCCACCCUCAUAAUCACAGUUCAUGAAAUUCAAGCAUCUUCUUUUGUUGAGGAUAAAGUAUCUCAGAUACCUUCUUUUGUACUAAUUCUUAGAGUACAUGGAAGUAUUUCUGUCUUUAAUUAAUGAAGAUCGAUCUAAGCAUAUGAAAAACACUUCUAAAUUAAAAAUUUGUCGCUUUAUUUAUCCAAUUGUUUGUAUGUAUUAUGUUUGAUAUGUUUCAACAUUAAAAUAAUAACUAAUAUAUCAUAUUCAUGAUGUGAGAA